UAUAUUUUACUUAAGUAGGUACUAAAUUAAUACUAUAAUAGCUCAAUAAUAACAGUUUUAGUCAUCUAAAUAUGAAGUGAAAAUGUGCAUCGUUAUGUGAGUGUUGAAUAAAUAGAUUUAUUGUUUUUUAUAAAAAAUAUUUUAAAUGACUUAUUAUAAGUUUUAACUGAGUUAAUUUAAUAUUUUUUCUUAUGGCUAAAAGCAUUAGAGGCAACAUUUAAUUUUUUUGUUGUUUAUUGACUUCACGAUAAUUAUUCGCAAUAACAUUGCAUUUUAAACUACUGUACCUUGUAAGUGAUAUUAAAUAUAAGAGUGAUAAUUAUAAACUAUAAUAUACAAAUGAAAUCCUAUUUAAAAAAAAAAAAUUAUUAUACCUAUUACCCACUUAAGAGCUACAAACAAGUUUUUUCAUUUAUCUCAUCUUUGUUUUGCAAUACUUUAUCACACAUUGUUAUUAUUAUUAUAACUAUUAUUAUUAUUAUUUUUAUUAUUAUUAUUAUUAUUAUUAUUACCUAUGUUAUGACAAAACAGUUUUACUUUUUGGCGAGGAACGCUUUCGAGUUCUAUUGUUAUCAUUAUAUCAUACACACGAGUGUAAACCCAAUGUAAUUGGCACGUAUACAACAAUUUGUUCAGAACUUAACACAACGCACGCGCUUAUAUAUAGUAAUAUUAUAUAGGUUCACCAUACACACAAACACACACGAUGCCACAUUUAGCUGUUUUCUUUGAUGUCGAACAAUAAUGCAACACAUAAUAUAUCUUAUUAUAUUGUAAUGUUGUAACUUGUAGCUAUAAUAUAAUAGUUAUAAAUUAUAAUAUAAUAUUAUAUAUUGUAUACUCAUACUUUAUCAAAAGUAUAUAAAAAUGUGCAGUGUACACGUGAGCGGCGGUGCUCACUCCUCCUCGGAGUAAUUUCAAUAUAUAUAUUAUAUACCUAGGUAGAUACCUAAACAUGGGCAGUGGUUACAUAUUUCGCUCUGCUGCAAUGACACUCAAAGACCAAAGUAAUCAUCGUUAGCGGGCGGCGCGCCUGUGGUUAAACAACCCGAAACGGCCGAAACAGUAGGCUAUAUAUGUUCUGUCGUACCGAUAUACUAAAUUUGAAAUUGGAGCAAAUACAUACGAAACAACGAAUACGAUACAGAAAACGAUCGACCUACAAUUAUUGCAUCAGUGGUUUUGAUUUGAAAUGCGCAGUACGAGAUUGUACCUCUACGUUCAUAAUAUAUUAUGAUCAAACGUUUGUUACAAAUUAAUCAGCUAGCUAAUAAUAUAAUAUUCCGAAUUCCAAACGGGUACAAAAGGCAAAACAUAAUAUACUCUAAUAACGGUGUACCUAUAUAAUAUGCUGGUUCUAAGGCUUGUUUGAAAGAUGUUCAUGAUAAAAUUACGACAGCUUGAAGAGUUUAGUCUACAAAAACCAUCUAAGGUGGUCGGUUUAAGAGGUGUCAACCAUUCAUCAAUGGCGUUCUCGUCUUCGUAAUCAGGAUGAUUCAUCAAGGCAUCAAGCGCGCACUGUGUUCAUUCCCAUUUUAUCCUGAAACUACGUAUUUAUUUAAAUUACGGUUUUAAGAACUUUCAAGGUACCAGAGACCAUAUUACAUUAAAUUUAUGAAAUUUUAUUAUUUUAUUUAAGUAUUUUAAAUAAGAAAUAAUUUUUAAGCAGAUGAUUGUAUUGAAGAUAUUGGAUGAAUUCAAAUCGAGAUUUGAACGAAUAGUUUUCACGUUUUUAAACAUUAUGUGCUAUACUGAAUACUAUAACUGUAUUAAAACCCAAGGGUAAUAAUCUAUUAUUGUAGGUUUGGUGUAUAUGGUGUUGCAAAGUGACUUUUAUAUUUUUAUGUAAUGUCGUUAGAUUUUUUUCUUCUUGUAUUUCAAUAUUAUCGUUAUGAAUACACGGCGUUGUGGAUAGGCAAUUUAGCUAUACUACUGUCACGGUUAUAUUUGUCCGAUAUCUCCCGUGUUUGACUUAUUGAUUAACAAUAAAAUAUGACAUAUAAUAACCAUACGAAUAAAAAAAAGUAUUUAUUGUUCAAGACGA